rnacentral:lncRNA from 1 species
UUAAGUUGUUAAAACUGUUGAGCGUAAAAAUAUACAAUGUCAUACUUAUUUAUAGGUAAUCAGGACCCAAGCCUAAAACUUACAACUCGAUCCCAAAACAUACAACUUAUAUUUUGACUUCAACACAACAACUAAAUGCUCGAAUACAACUGACUCAUACUACUUCGACUAGCUACUUUGACAUAGUUGAAUACUAGCUUUUUUUUACAAAACAUUGAAAUACCACUUCUAACACAUCACCUAG